AUGCCACAGAAAAGGCAUUUGCUACAAUGCAUUCACAUUUCCGCACCAGGCGCCUACUGUCACGGUUUCUUCCCAACCUCUGUACCAAUGAGAUUUGUGAAGCAAUUGUUGCAUUUACUGGAGCUGAGUGACUCCUUGCAUUUCCAUUCAUCUCCUGCUUUCUGGGGUUCUGCAUUCAGGCAUAAGGAAAGAAAAGGCAGAGAGAGCAGCGGGGUUUGGUCUGAAAUCAGUACACGGAGUAUCAGCCCACGUCAAAACAGAUCUUUUUGUAAAGUUGAAUGCGGCUGAUAAAAUAAUAGAUGGUCCUGCUGGGUGGAAGCUAUGGGGAUGCGGCUAAUGGGACUCACACAGGUUCAAGGGACCAACCCAACAGUGGCAGCAAGAAAUGGUGACAAGCCAAGAUCUAAAUGAGGUCAAUUAACGAGAGAAAAUUUUCAUUUGAGAUGGUCUGCUGGAAAUGAAUUAUGCAAAGGGUAACCCAGCUGUGCACUCACUUCUACAGCUCUUACUGUGAGAUGAAUCCUGCCUGGUGUUUAGUCUAGUACUGAGGCUGCUGAACUGGAUGCUGUAACGGAUACAAAUGGAUAAAAGGAGAUUGAUACUUUAAGGAGACUUUGGUUUAAUAGGAUAUAGAAAAUAUACACUUGGUCACCCAAAUGGGAUCAAAUGGGCUUUUGAAGAUACAGCAGGCCAUCAAAGCCAGAAGAAAGAGAAUUUUUCUGGGAAGGUCAAAGAAGACUUGGAAAAUACACUGGAGUUUAACUUAGGUGUUAAAGACAAGGAAAAGACAGUUGGCACAGACAAGACUAAGACAGUGAAACCAUGAGACCAUAAGAGAGUUUCUAACCUUGCUCUACAACAAUAGGAAAACAGAAUAAAAACAGAAUGAACAACUGAGAUCAAGGAAACCAGUGAAUGUGCUCUGUAGCUGGACUGGGUAGGGGAGGGCUGUAAGCCUGUGCUGACAUCCACCCUGAGUCUCAGGAGCAGAACUAGCCUAUUAGAGAAAUUGAGAUCUCAAUCCCUCAAUCUCGGAAUUCUAGCAAAUAGCAAACAUAAUAGCUGAGAGAUACCAGAAGUUCCUUUACAGACUGCCACCAUAAAGUUAAUGCUACAAUGAAGUGGGUUGCAUAAGUUAUAGCCUUGGUAAC